rnacentral:tRNA from 1 species
UGGCACAGUGGUUCAGCAUUUGGCUGCUAACCAAAAAGUGGUUGGUUCAAACCCACC